GGUCCAAUGGUCUAGAGGUAUGAUUCACCCUUAGGGCACAAGCGAUUUGGGUGAGGUCCCGCGUUCGAUUCGCGGUUGGACCC
rnacentral:tRNA from 1 species